AUGUACUCAAGCAACAAGUUAAUGCUAUUUGGGAUAAACUGGAGCAAUACAACUAAAGUAAUAUUACAAAAGAAAAUGGUUUCUUCAAGCGUCGUUGUGAUUUACAAACAAAUGAUUCUGUUGGGAUGCAUUUGGUAUAUAGAUUCUCAUAUGAAUUUAAACGAGAAAUUCUUCAUUACUUCUGAUCAUCAGAGUGGAAUUUCAUUAUUGCAACAUGAACUGUACAUGUACAGAUUCAACUUGUCCCAAAUCGUACCAAUUUUUUUUACCAAGAUAAGCUAUCAGAUUGUGAUUUUUCAAAGCAAGUUUACUAGCAGAAGAAAAAUAUAUCAAAUGCUAUUUUCAUCAUGCAAGGCUGACCAGUACAAGAAAACCAAAACUCCUAGCAGAUGA
rnacentral:rRNA from 1 species